rnacentral:rRNA from 1 species
AAUAUUUGACAAUGGGCGAAAGCCUGAUCCAGCCAUGCCGCGUGUGUGAAGAAGGUCUUCGGAUUGUAAAGCACUUUAAGUUGUGAGGAAAGGCAGUAAGUUAAUACCUUGCUGUUUUGACGUUACCCACAGAACUAGCACUGGCUCUCUUCGUGCCAGCAUCCGCGGUAAUACGAAGGGUGCAAGCGUUAAUCGGAAUUACUGGGCGUAAAGCGCGCGUAGGUGGUUUGUUAAGUUGGAAGUGAAAGCCCCGGGCCCAGCCUGGGAGCUGCUUUCAAAACUGGCAAGCUAGAGUACGGUAGAGGGUAGUGGAAUUUCCUGUGUAGCGGUGAAAUGCGUAGAUAUAGGAAGGAACACCAGUGGCGAAGGCGACUACCUGGACUGAUACUGACACUGAGGUGCGAAAGCGUGGGGAGCAAAC